rnacentral:rRNA from 1 species
UGCCAGCCGCCGCGGUAAUACGGAGGGUGCGAGCGUUGUUCGGAUUUAUUGGGCGUAAAGCGCGUGUAGGCGGUUUUAUAAGUCUGAUGUGAAAGCCCCGGGCUCAACCUGGGAAGUGCAUUGGAUACUGUAAGACUUGAAUACGGGAGAGGGCAGUGGAAUUCCUAGUGUAGGAGUGAAAUCCGUAGAUAUUAGGAGGAACACCGGUGGCGAAGGCGGCUGCCUGGACCGAUAUUGACGCUGAGACGCGAAAGCGUGGGUAGCAAACAGGAUUAGAUA